rnacentral:rRNA from 1 species
AACGAACGCUGGCGGCAGGCUUAACACAUGCAAGUCGAGCGCCCCGCAAGGGGAGCGGCAGACGGGUGAGUAACGCGUGGGAAUCCACCCAUCUCUACGGAAUAACGCAUGGAAACGUGUGCUAAUACCGUAUACGUCCUUCGGGAGAAAGAUUUAUCGGCGACGGAUGAGCCCGCGUUGGAUUUGCUAGUUGGUGGGGUAAAGGCCUACCAAGGCGACGAUCCAUAGCUGGUCUGAGAGGAUGCUCAGCCACACUGGGACUGAGACACGGCCCAGACUCCUACGGGAGGCAGCAGUGGGGAAUAUUGGACAAUGGGCGCAAGCCUGAUCCAGCCAUGCCGCGUGAGUGAUGAAGGCCCUAGGGUUGUAAAGCUCUUUCACCGGUGAAGAUAAUGACGGUAACCGGAGAAGAAGCCCCGGCUAACUUCGUGCCAGCAGCCGCGGUAAUAC